GGUCAGGACGAACGCUGGCGGCGUGCUUAAAACAUGCAAGUCGAACGGGUGAGUUGUGGCACAAAGGCAUUUGAAAAGAUGUUUUGUGCUGACAAGUCGCUAGUGGCGGACGGGUGAGUAACGCGUGAGCAAUCUGCCUACGUACAGGGGGAUAACACAGAGAAAUUUGUGCUAAUACCGCAUAAGACCACAGGGAGGCAUCUUCUAGGGGUCAAAGGAGUAAUCCGGUAGUAGAGGGGCUUGCGUCUCAUUAGCUAGUUGGUGAGGUAACGGCCCACCAAGGCGACGAUGAGUAGCCGAUCUGAGAGGAUGAACGGCCACACUGGAACUGAGAAACGGUCCAGACUCCUACGGGAGGCAGCAGUUAGGAAUAUUGGGCAAUGGAGGAAACUCUGACCCAAGCAACGCCGCGUGAAGGAAGAAGGUUUUCGGAUUGUAAACUUCUGAUCUGUGGGAAAAAGCAAGUGAUGGUACCACAGGAGAAAGCCACGGCUAACUACGUGCCAGCAGCGGC
rnacentral:rRNA from 1 species